rnacentral:rRNA from 1 species
GGCGGACGGGUGAGUAAUGUAUAGGAACUUGCCUAGUAGUGGGGGACAACGUGUGGAAACGCACGCUAAUACCGCAUACGCUCUACGGAGGAAAGCGGGGGAUCUUCGGACCUCGUGCUACUAGAUGGGCCUAUAUUGGAUUAGCUAGUUGGUAGGGUAAAGGCUUACCAAGGCGACGAUCCAUAGCUGGUUUGAGAGAAUGAUCAGCCACACUGGGACUGAGACACGGCCCAG